AGCAUAUCAGUAAGCGGAGGAAAAGAAACUAACCAGGAUUCCCUUAGUAACUGCGAGUGAAGCGGGAUUAGCCCAAUAUUAGAAGCAGGCCGGCCAGGCGUCGGACCCGCAUUGUAUAUUGAUGGGACGUGUCCUAGCGUCACUCGACCGCUUAAAGUGCCUUGGAACAGGCCGUCAAAGAGGGUGACAACCCCGUUUUACAGCAGUCGAGUGGCGUGUCUUUGGCGCGUCACCUUAGAGUCGGAAUGUUUGGGAUUGCAUUCCAAAACGGGUGGUAAACUCCAUCCAAGGCUAAAUACUGGCGAGAGACCGAUAGCGAACAAGUACCGUGAGGGAAAGUUGAAAAGCACUCUGGAGAGAGAGUCCAACAGUACGUGAAAUUGCCGGCAGGGAAACGUUGGGCACCAGUACACGGCAUUCAACAUCGAUGAUCAGCCAGACGCGUGGGCAACCGCGUCGUCGGUGCACUCGUCGAUGGCCGGGUCAGCAUCGGUUUGGUGCGUUCGAAACGCUAUUACGGUUGGAACUCCCGUCUGGGACUCUGACCGGGAUUCGCUAGGAUGCACUAGACCGAGGAAGCGAUUCGCACUUGUUCGAGGCGUGAUGGUCGUGUUAGUGCUCUAUCAUCGUUAGACAACUCGUUGACUGAUGGUGACAGGAGUACACGCGGCAGUCUCUGGCCUCCUCGAANCACGGACUGCUGACGAAAUGGCAUCCAACGACCCGUCU
rnacentral:rRNA from 1 species